rnacentral:rRNA from 1 species
AUUGAACGCUGGCGGCAGGCCUAACACAUGCAAGUCGAACGGUAACAGGAAACAGCUUGCUGUUUCGCUGACGAGUGGCGGACGGGUGAGUAAUGUCUGGGAAACUGCCUGAUGGAGGGGGAUAACUACUGGAAACGGUAGCUAAUACCGCAUAACGUCGCAAGACCAAAGAGGGGGACCCUCGGGCCUCUUGCCAUCGGAUGUGCCCAGAUGGGAUUAGCUUGUUGGUGGGGUAACGGCCCACCAAGGCGAUGAUAGGUAGCCGGCCUGAGAGGGUGGACGGCCACAAGGGGACUGAGAUACGGCCCUUACUCCUACGGGAGGCAGCAGUGGGGAAUAUUGCACAAUGGGCGCAAGCCUGAUGCAGCCAUGCCGCGUGUAUGAAGAAGGCCUUCGGGUUGUAAAGUACUUUCAGCGGGGAGGAAGGGAGUAAAGUUAAUACCUUUGCUCAUUGACGUUACCCGCAGAAGAAGCACCGGCUAACUCCGUG